rnacentral:rRNA from 1 species
UACAGAGGCCACGAGCGUUAGGCGGAAUCACUGGGCUUAAAGCGUGUGUAGGUGGAUUGGUAAGUACCUUGUGAAAUCCCACGACUCAAUCGUGGAACUGCUUGGUAUACUGCCAGUCUUGAGGUACUCAGGGGCGAGCGGAACAGAUGGUGGAGCGGUGAAAUGCGUAGAUAUCAUCUGGAACGCCAAUGGUGAAGACAGCUCGCUGGGGGUAUUCUGACACUGAGACACGAAAGCCAGGGGAGCAAACGGG